GCUGGCGGCGUGCUUAACACGAUGCAAGUCGACGGAAAGGCCCUUCGGGGUACUCGAGUGGCGAACGGGUGAGUAACACGUGGGUGAUCUGCCCUGCACUUUGGGAUAAGCCUGGGAAACUGGGUCUAAUACCGGAUAGGACUACGGCCUGCAUGGGUUGUGGUGGAAAGCUUUUGCGGUGUGGGAUGGGCCCGCGGCCUAUCAGCUUGUUGUGGGGUGAUGGCCUACCAAGGCGACGACGGGUAGCCGGCCUGAGAGGGUGACCGGCCACACUGGGACUGAGAUACGGCCCAGACUCCUACGGGAGGCAGCAGUGGGGAAUAUUGCACAAUGGCGCAAGCCUGAUGCAGCGACGCCGCGUGGGGAUGACGGCCUUCGGGUUGUAAACCUCUUUCAGUAGGGACGAAGCGUAAGUGACGGUACCUAUAGAAGAAGCACCGGCCAACUACGUG
rnacentral:rRNA from 1 species